rnacentral:rRNA from 1 species
UACGAAGGGGGCUAGCGUUGCUCGGAAUCACUGGGCGUAAAGCGCACGUAGGCGGAUUGCUAAGUCAGGGGUGAAAUCCUGGAGCUCAACUCUGGAACUGCCUUUGAUACUGUCGAUCUGGAGUAUGGAAGAGGUGAGUGGAAUUCCGAGUGUAGAGGUGAAAUUCGUAGAUAUUCGGAGGAACACCAGUGGCGAAGGCGGCUCACUGGUCCAUUACUGACGCUGAGGUGCGAAAGCGUGGGGAGCAAACAGG